rnacentral:rRNA from 1 species
AUAGAGACUCAGAGCUGCAUAUCAAUAAGCGGAGGAAAAGAAACUAACUAGGAUUCCCUCAGUAACGGCGAGUGAAGCGGGAAGAGCUCAAAUUUGAAAUCUUCAAGGUUUUACCUUGACGAAUUGUAGUUUAAAGAAGUGUCUUCUGUUGGAGUUUUGGUAAAAGUUCUUUGGAAUAGGACAUCAUAGAGGGUGAGAAUCCCGUAUUUGACCAUUAUCUCCAGCUGUGUGAUACACUUCCAAAGAGUCGGAUUGUUUGGGAAUGCAGUCCAAAAUGGGUGGUAAAUUUCAUCUAAAGCUAAAUAUUGGCGAGAGACCGAUAGCGAACAAGUACCGUGAGGGAAAGAUGAAAAGAACUUUGAAAAGAGAGUUAAACAGUACGUGAAAUUGUCAAAAGGGAAGCGUUUGACACCAGUGUUGUUUUCUCGAAAAUCAAUUAAGAAAGGCUGAUUUUGUGUUGUAUUGACUUUAUCAGCUUUCUGCACUCUUUUCUUAAGUCUUUUUAAUGCACUUUUCGGUUAACAAGUCAACAUCAAUUUCUUUUGUUGUAAAAGGGUCAUUGGAAGGUGGCUUUCUUUUCGGAGAAAGUGUUUAUAGCCUUUGGCCUCUGCAAUCGGAGAGAUUGAGGUCUGCAGCGUAGAUCCUUCGGGGUUAGAUACAUUUGUGCUAAGUUAUAGCCUUUCAUAGACAACUUGUUGACUAUGAUCAGUCAUGUAGCUUACUCGCUUAUGCUAUUUUACCUACGCUUAGGAUGUUGACGAUCAGCUGAGCGCG